UACGUAGGGGCCGAGCGUUGUCCGGAGUUAUUGGGCGUAAAGCGCGCGCAGGCGGCCGCGCGCGCCCGACGUGAAAGCCCCCGGCUUAACCGGGGAGGGUCGUUGGGGACGGCGGGGCUUGAGGGCGGGAGAGGUCGGUGGAAUUCCCGGUGUAGUGGUGAAAUGCGUAGAGAUCGGGAGGAACACCUGUGGCGAAGGCGGCCGACUGGGCCGACCCUGACGCUGAGGCGCGAAGGCGUGGGGAGCAAACAGG
rnacentral:rRNA from 1 species